UUGUGAUAUAUAGUAUCAUUUCUGUUUUUUUUUUUUUCACUUUUCCUUCCAAUACAUUUAUUUAUUUAUUAUUUUGAAAAGUUCCCCUCAAGCAUUUUGCUAAGCUGCUGGGGAAGCAGAUUUGUGGCCCAGCUCCUAAACUCAAGAGACGGCCUUCUUUAUUUAUCCAAUCCUUAAAAAUCCUUUAUCCAAUCCAACGCUCUCUCCAUUGUUCAAGACCACUUAUUAAAAUGAUCUCAUUUCCUUUGCUUCAAACCUGCAGAACCCAUUCAGUUUUUCUUCUGCCACUACCAGUGUUCAGGUGCCAUUCCAUUGUAGCCAGGCUUUUUCAGGAGUCACUAUGUUGCUCUCCUUGUAACCGAUGCCCACUUUUCCUUUUUGAUCUUGGACAUGGCCACCAGAGUCAUUAUCCUAUAAGCUUUCAUGUUAUCACUAUAGUUCAAGAAGAGGGCAGGUAACUCGGCAUUAGAAUGUGCCCCUUCUCAAUCUAGUCUCACUUCUACAAAACUAAGGCCCUCCUUAAACUAGUGAUCCUUCUCCACACCCUCGGUCAUACUGGAUGUCUAUAUUAUCAUCUGUCUGGAUUCCUCUCCAUUGUUCUUUUCACUUACAAAGCAGCAAAGCAUGGUGGGUAAAGCCAUGAAUUUGGGACCAGAUGCGCCUUACCACUUACUUGUUCUGUGGUUUGGGGCUACUUGUAUAAGUCUUUCUUAUGCCUCUCACUAUAUCAUUGAAAAUAACUUAUUUUUAAAAAUCCUUCCUAGAAUUGUUAAGAUUAAGUGGGUAAUAUAUUAAAAGACCUUGACACAUACAAAAUGCUUGUUUUGGCUUUUUUUUUUUUUUUUUUUUUUUAUGUAGCCCAGGCUGACCUUGAACCUGGGCAAUCCUUCUGCCUUAGCCUCCCAAGGGUUGGGAAUACAGGUAUAUACAAUCGCACCUGGCUAUUUUUAGCUAUUGUCAUUGUUCUUAUUGCUAAUGAAAACCCAGAUCCCACUCUCACAUUUCAUAGCUCACUGCAAAUUGUAGGGGGCUCCUGGGAGCUUUUCCAGACAAUAAGAUGGAAGUAAUUCUUCCCUUUUCAACCUUUUUAAGCCCUUCUUAUCCAAUCCACAGUUACCAGGCAAAUUUAGACCUAUUUAUUAUUUUCAUGGGAAAUAAAACUCAGAGACAUCUAGCCAUACACAAGAAUACAUAUUUACUGCUAAUGGAAAGAGUGUCACAUGUUUUGUAGAGCAUACAUUCCCUGAGGGUAGAUCCAGCUCUUUAUAUAUUAGUGCUUUUCUUACAGGGCUUUACAACUAGUUACUAACAAAAAUAAGUCCAAUUUUUUUCUGAUUAAAUGAAGCGUGCAGGUGGAAAAUUAUGAACAGACCAGUCUAUGUAAAUAGUCAGUGACCGUUCAGAUAAUAGCGUCCUGACUACUAGAAUAUGAAUAUGAAGAAACAUGGGCCCUUAGUCAGUGUUGGACAAAGGCUUGGCCAGACCGUGUGGACGGUAGUUCUGGACACCAAUACCAUGGUGGUGUAGCAGAGGUAGCUUGGUGGCAGGCUGCCACACAGGCUGAAAUAAAAAACAGAGAAGCUAGGAGAAGACUGUGGGGUAUGACUGCUGAACUUUGGACUCUGAAAGAGAAGAAAUUUUAAAAUCAAAGGCCAUUUGUAAAGAAAGAAUCCCAUUGCCUUUGGAAGAUGAUAGAAGUUGAUGAGAGUGAUAAAUGCAGUAAAGUUAUAGUUGGGUCUUCCUUGGUUAACUGUGGAGUAUUCACAUUUGGAGAAGGUUGUCUUUAAAGGAAGAAGAGAUGUGUUCAGUCUCAAGACUCUGACCUCCGUGGGUAGCAGAGAACAGGUCCACCUUGCUCUCCCCAGGUCCCUGACGUCUGGGACAGUCAAUGGCAUCCUCCACAGUGGAUAUCUGAUAAGUACGUCAUAAAAGAAGUCACAGUCACUUAAACUUGAUACCUGCAGAAUCAAAUGAGGCAAGUUGUAGAAAAUUCUCCCCACCUGUUUAAUGAUUCGCUCAUUCUGAUUAGCUGGCAUAGUAAAUUAUUUUUUCCUAAAAAGGUAUCCUUCUCCCUUCUUGAGAAGGGUGUUCGAAAGAGACAAUUUUUUAAAUUCCAGUACAGCUGACAGAACCUACAGACCCCUAGGCAUCUGUCUCCUGUGUGCCUUACUGUAACUAGUAAAACAAACCCAGCAACGCAGCACCUCAGCAGAUAGGUGCUCCAGAAAGCAAUUGUUUGCUCUCACUCUAUAGAGAAGUAGCAAUAUCUGCGUGGCUUAAGGGCUGGAGCAGCAGUCACGUACAGCAUUAGAAAAAUAUUACCCUCAUUUGCCAUUGUGUAGUGCCAAGCUGCAAAUAAGAGACAUGUCAGUUCAACAAAGCAGAAAUGUUUCAUUCGUAUUCAGUGAUUACUGUGAGGGAAUUUUAUUGCUACAAAUGUGUAUAUAUGCCUUUAAAUAAGUGAUUGCAAUUUAAAAAACAAUGCAAACUGUCUCCCCCAUUCUCUCUACAAAGGAACAAGGUUUCCCUACUUGGGUGAAUAUUGCCUGCUCUGCUUGUAGAAGAAAAAGAGCAGCCUUGGCAAGCAUCUUAUUAGUCUAAAAAUAAAUUAUUCAAAAUGCAAGUUCAGAUACAGAUUGCAAGGAAAGAUAAUAGAAUUGGUUUUCCAAGCCUGAUCAUGCUAUGAAGACAUGGUGUGUGCUUUUCAGGAACCCACUUAAGUGGAAUCAGCUUUGUCGAAUACACACUAGAAAUAAUAUUGCUGCCAUCCAGCUAGUGUCUGUGGUACAGCAUCCUCGGGACCGCUUCGAGCAUCCGUGGUCUCUCCCCUUCAGUGUGCAUAAGUAACAGUAGAUGUGUAUUUCCAAGCAUUUCUUCAGGAUUCAAUCUUCUCAUUGUUCUUUUAAGGAAAUUUCUUCCUGGCAGCACAAGAAGGGCAGGUCUCACUCGAGAUCUGUCUCCCUCCUGCUCCCCCCACCUCCUCCCCGCCUUGGCGAAAUAGUUGACCACAUCAGCAGCCGAUUCCAGCUCGUCAUGUGGUUUCUCAUGUGAUGCUGGGUCUGCGGCACUUUGGAGCAACAGCAUUUGUGACUCGGCACUCAUGGACAGACAGUAGCGUUCAGGGACAAGAGAGAUUUUGGAGGGGGUGGGGAGGCCAAUAAACCGAGAAACAUUAGAAAUAAAAGUCGCACGAAGCGCCGGGCUGCGCUAUUUUGUGUUUCUUUCUUUUUUUUUUCUUUUCUUUCUUUUUUUUAAAUUCUGAAGCCAGACUGUCUUGCCUCCCAGCACCGGGGCUGCUUCGCCGUGGGCACGCCGAGCCUCCCGGUUACCUGCGUGGCUCCUGCGGCAUCUCCUGCCUGGGCUUCGCCAUAGUGCACUGGACCCGGACUCGCGAGUCUGCACCCAGCACAAGGAGGACCUGCUGGUGGAGCUCUGGCCAGGGUCUCCUCUCACCUGCUUGAGGGGACUUGGGAGCCAGGGCAAAGCUGCGGACAUCUCAGGGAGGGAUGGUAGAGGACGCAGAGGACCAGGAUGGGGAUGUUAGGAAUCCUAUGUUACCAAUGCCACCGGUGCUCUGCAGGGAGAGGACAGCUGCCUGCACCCAGCUCCGGCUGCUCUUAGGGAGUAAUCUGGAAAGACAAGCCAGGCUGAGGUGUGGUGGCCUUUCACCUGAGAGUGGAGCUGAAGAUGGAUAAACAAGGUAUCUGAUGUAUCUGCCUGGCAAGGCGGAGUUGGAGAAAAGCAGAGAGGAAUGCGUGAAGAGAAAGGAGAUGCUGACUGCUGUGUGAUUGCUGCUCACUCUGCGUUCUUAUUCUAGGGAAAAUGGCAUAAUUUAUAAGCCAGUACAUGGAUGGAGGAACUGUAAAUUGUAGUCUGGAUGUCCCCGGUGCUGUCAGAGAAGAAACUGAUGGGCUGGGUGGCUGUACUGUGUCCCCAGAGAAAACAGCUUUGCAGCAUGGAUUUAAAUGCAUGUGCGUGCAUGUAGAGACAUGGGGUGGGGAAGCGAUUUCUGACCAUUUUACACAGGAAGUCUGUCACUCUGCUGGAUCGGGUGUGAUUGCAGCUUGUGUUUUCAGUGCCAGCUUGACACCCAUCUCCUGACCAGCCAGAAAGCUCGGCCAAAGCAGCUGCAACCCGCCUCACUUUUAACUCCUUGAAGCUCUGUGCUCUGUGUGGUGCUAGGACUGAUGGAGUGGUUUUUGUUUUCUUCUUCCUCUUCUUCUACAAAUCCCUGUAAACACAGCUGUAUUCAGUAUGGAAAAAAAAUUUCUAGCCUGUAAAUAGAAAUGUGAUCAAUUUAAUCAAAAUAAAUAUAUACCAGAUGACUUCGACACCAGCUGGCUACCACAGGCUUCAGAUGCAGACUGCUCGGUAGAGAUGAACACAGCGUUAUAUUUACAUGUUUUAGAAUGCCAGGAUUAGCCUAUAAUUAAAGAAAGCAAGCCUCUUAUGAGGAAGAGAGGUGGUCCUUCCAGCUCACAGCUAGAUGGUUAGGCACAGGUGCGGAUGGCUGCCCUUCAUGUGACUGGGACGCAUGUGGUGUGGCGUUUCAGAGGGCUUGUGCCACAAGGCAGAGCAUGGCUGCCGUCAGCGUGGAGAAAGCUUGGCUCUGAGUUGCUGCUGUAGAAAGCUGAGCCUCUGCACAGUCUCUAGCGAGGCGGGGGAAAGUCACUCAGGCUUGUAGAUUCCAAACAGGGAGCUGCAGUGCCCUGUCCCAGCCUGGUGGAGUGUCACCACCCACCUGAGACAGAAAAGCUUUCGCAGUUGUCAUGGGGAGCUCAUUGGGGAUGCCUGUCUGGCCUCUCCACUGUUUGUUACCAAUUCUACAAAGGCAGUUCUGUGCUUUGGAUUUUGUUUGGCCAGCUGUUGGUGCAUUCCUGCGGGCGGGGUGGACGAGGAUCUUGUUACUGUACUUCCAAACUGUAGAUCUGUGUGCAGGCAGAGGAGGGAGGGAAGGAAAGAAGCCAGAGAGAGAGAGAAUCUGAUCGUUCAGAUGCCUUUCUCCAGAUAGUCCUAGAGUGAAUCGAGAAAGGCUUUAAAGUGAAAAGAAAGACAGAGCAAGAAGGGGACGAGAAAGGGACAAGGGAGAGAAGGAAACCGAGCAAGCCCAAAAGAGAAAAACAGAACUUCAAAGCUGCAUAGACAAGCACAAUGUCAGCAGCUUGUAAUUAGUGGUUCCUGGUUGCGUCAGUGACUACAUCUCUCCAAGAAUAACUCUGUGAUGUGUGCCACAAAGUGAAGAAGAUAGUCAUAACUAAAUUAUCAAACAGUUCAAACCAGGGCACAUGGAUUAAGGAGUUUUCUGUGUUUGUAAAUCAAAUAUGGAUGGAUUACAUGUACAGGAUUUGCUGAAUUCUGCACAACUGAAAGCUGAAUUAGCAAUGUGUGUGUGGAUAUGAGGGGUUUGUUUACUAGAUGAAAUGGGGAACUCUAAAGAUUUUUUUGUGCAAGCUCUAUCAGUGUACGAUAUUUCUCCAACUGGCCCCCCAACUGCACUGUCUGUCUCCUAUCUCUGCAUCCACAGAUUGCUUUUGUUUAUUCUUGUGCAUUUCAAUGGAGAUAAGUCAAAAGCUACAUUUGAGUAAAUAUGGACAAUGAGGUCUAAAACUCCCAUUUCAGAUUGCAAAAAUGACUACAGGGUUCUGAGUUUCAUUGGUAGCUCCAGCUUAAACCUUGAAAGAACUUUCGUUGUCCAGAAGCCAAACAGCAGUCUGUUAGUAAUUCUGGGGCAAGGCAGGGUAUUGUGGUUGUUGAGAUUUGAAGGCCACGUUCACAACCGUCCCUUGUCUCUUGUGCUUAGAGGUGUGGUGCUCUGAUAGCCUCUGCAGGAAUACAAUGGGAGGAGCUGAUUGGCUGGAAGGUUUAGGAUGUUUACUUGUAUUUGUUUUCACUGCCCCUCCAUGGCAUUCAUUGUGUAUUUGUAUUUGUGUUCAUGCUGCACAAUUACUCCUGACUGCUCUGUUUCUCUGCCCAAAGAGAAGUCAAUUUUAGUUCAGCUCUAUGCAUUUGGCUUCUGGGGUAAUAUACACAUAUGUAUUGCAUUACCUAUGUAUGCAAUUGCCUUUUUAAGUGUGGAUUAGGGGAAACUGUAGGCAGGGAGAGCUGUGUACAUUAAAUCAAUAGUGUUUUGAAUCACACGUAAUAUAAUUUAAAUAUACUCACUCCGAGGUUGCCAAAGCUGACAUUGUCUGAGCCCCUUUAAUUUACAUCUUCGAUUUAGUCAAGAAGCGGAACCUGCCAGAUCAGAAUAGCCUAUUCUGUGCACCCAACAGGGUGGAAGACAUUAUUUUGUUUGUGUUAGUUCAAACAGCUGGUCAUUAAUGCCGUCCCCAUUUCUGGAGUGAAGUGCUGGUCGACGUGAAUAGCUGCCUGAUUAAUGCUGCCCCUCGGAGGGUCCUUCACCCAGCAGCCCCGCUCGCAGCAGAAUAAUGUAGCAUGAUGUGAUUGCACUCUAACAGGAUAGUAUGUCAUUGUGUCACCAAGCAAUUGAGGUUAUUAUGGGGCAGGGCAGACAGACGGGACAGUGGGGUUACUAGACCGUAGCAUUUUUAGAAAUACAGGCCUGACCUACUUAGUUAGAGUUAUUCUCUCUGGCUGGCAGCUGCAUGGUGCAUGAAGUCUCCUGAUAGGCUGAGGCUGUUGCUAGGGGGAAUUAGCAUGAAUUUUUCCACACACAAACUCAGUGACUGAAUGAUAAAAGCUGACUGGAAUUAAGGAGAUUUGGUUUAGUAUUAUACAGAUUUAUCUGCCUCGUUUUUCUUUCUCAAGUGCAGAGAAAGAGUGCAAAAUACAGAUUGUGUUUCCAUUUGCUCUUUGACCUCUUCCUUCUCUGUCUCCUGCCCCUCUCCCCCACCCCAAAGAUUCAUAAGGAGAAAGAGCAGGGCAGUUAUGAAAUUUUGAUUGAUCUCUUACUGCUGGAAUCAUUGAAAUGACGUUGCAAGUUGCAAGCUAUUUAGGCUUAGAGAUGGCAGGGAAUGACUAGCAGAAGGUUAGAUUUUUUUUUUUUCCUUUCCUGUGCACUAAGCUGUUUUGAAGUUGGGCAUGCAUCUUUCAUGCACUGUAUAUUUAAACUCUCUUUCCCUUUUGGGCUUGAACAAAACAUUUAUAUAAAUUCUUUUCUAUCCAAACAGAUUGAAGCUUGCAAUCCUUGGCUUGUUUAAAAUAAGAUAGUCAGGAUUCCAGAUUUAGAUGGUGGGGGGAGCAGUAUAUACCAUUUUUUAUUACAAAAUAUUUUUUUCAGGCUAUUUUGGGGUUGGCUUUCUUCAAAAUCCAGCCUGAUGUUUAUGCUUAAGGAUAAAAUUUAACUGCUCCCACUGCUACCCCACUUUGCUGCACAGUGUACAAAAAGACACAGAGUUUUCUCCAGAAGAAAAUAUAGCUGCAGAAUUUAUCUAGAGGUUGGUUUUUCUUGUUGCUGACACAUGCACUACAUGUAGAGAGCUCCCAUAAUCAAUUUUAUAAAAUGACCCUGUUUUUUCCUUCUGCUGCAUCUCCAACUGUCUGCGAUUUUAAUAGAUCUUUUCAAGAGGAGGAUUUUUAAUAGAUCUUUUAAAGAUAAUCUGAAAGUCCAUCAGGAGAGAAAUUAAAGCAAUGUGUAUUCAAGAGUACUUUGAUUUUUCUCUUAAUUAUAUGCUAUCUGUGCUUAAACUGCAGUUUCUUUCUGGUACGUUUUGUGCUGAAAGUAGUUAUUGCCUUGCCUUUUUGAUUUGAAAUUAAUUUUUGUAAGAAAGUACUCUGCUAUCACAAGUAAACAAGAAGCUUGGCUGUAUGAGCAAGGAGAGGAAUAAUGUAGCUUCUUGUCAGUUUGCAACACUGCAUUUCUUGGCCAUAAGUAAAUAGGCAUGAGAAAAUUUAGCUGUAGAUUUUUGUUUUCAUUUAGGUUUUCCUAAAUGUUAAGAACUAGUUUAGAUACAGAUGUUUUCAAACAGUAAUUUCUCCUUGCACCAGAACCUACAGCAAAAACAAAAUUAGAAAAAUCCUCCAGUGGUAUUAGAACCUAGAAGUCCAUCAAUCAUCGCCUUAAAAAAAAAAAACCCUAGCAGUGUUUACAUUUCAGCAUAUAAAUAUAGUUUAUCAAGCUAAAAUAGAGUGCAUUGCCUGGUGUCGUAGGUGGAGGAUUAGAUCCUCACCAGCUUGCAAGUCCCAGAAUAACAUUUAUUGUCAAAAUUUCCAACUAUCCUAAUAAUCUUGCAUAAUUAAAUAAAACAUCAAUUUGUGUUUGUUGAAUAAAAGAUUACCUUGUAGUAAUCCUUCUGAGAUGAAACAAUUUUUUAUUUUAAUAAGUGAACAUUUCUAUUUUUCUCUUAUAGUACUUAGUUUAAGGAGAUGUGUAAACCUUUAAAUAUUUAAGUGCAAAAAUAAAUACCAUGUCACUUUAAAAUCACUUAUGAAAAAAUGUUAGCAUAGUUUUAUUAACAUUCUAUAGUGCACAGACACCUAAUUGUUGUAAAUCAUGGCCUGGGUCCGGGUAGGCAGUCCAAUUUAAUGUUUGUCAUUUGAUUAAAAUACAUUGAUCACAUUGUGUUUGAUUGCUUUAAGAAUUUUUUUAUUGGUUUGGCUUCUAUCCCUAACCAAAGACUUAAGUGCUCAGUGUGUCAAAAAUAAAACUUAAACAAAAAGUA